rnacentral:misc_RNA from 1 species
CGGCGCCUAAGUAGCCCUAUCAUAUAAAGAAGUCUUCCAGAGAAUAUACAGAUCAUGGUAAUAUUAAACUGCAAAACUUGUCUAUCCUAGUUCGUGGGAUUGUUUUCAGAUUCCAUUCGGUCUUCAAAUCCGAAUUGUCAUCUCAUGUUACAGCAUUGAGGCCGGCCUAGCUGUUGUAAUUUGUUCCACAUACAAAUCAUCUGUCUAGGGGACUGGUAAUGAGCGGUAUAAUAGUCGUCUACACAUCCAGAUUGGGAGAACUUCAAGCUGUGUACAUACUGCACAGGUCUUGAUGAACUAUUAAAUUUUUCGACCCACAUUCCCAUACUGACAUCCUCCAUCUUGAACAACUUUAGCUUAUGGUUAUCGAACUCUGAGACGACGAAGUUUGCGAUGGCUGAUGAAAUAAUGUAACCCGGUCCAUUAGCAUAAGGUGGAUAAUCUUCUUCUGG